rnacentral:rRNA from 1 species
UGCUAAUACCGGAUAACAACAGAUGAUGCCUAUCAACUGUUUAAAAGAUGGUUCUGCUAUCACUCUUGGAUGGACCUGCGGUGCAUUAGCUAGUUGGUAGGGUAACGGCCUACCAAGGCGAUGAUGCAUAGCCGAGUUGAGAGACUGAUCGGCCACAUUGGGACUGAGACACGGCCCAAACUCCUACGGGAGGCAGCAGCC